rnacentral:rRNA from 1 species
GACGAACGCUGGCGGCGUGCUUAACACAUGCAAGUCGAACGGAGUUCCUUGGAUAGAGGCUUCGGCCAAUUGAAUUGGAACUUAGUGGCGGACUGGUGAGUAACGCGUGAGGAACUUGCCUUUCAGAGGGGGACAACAGUUGGAAACGACUGCUAAUACCGCAUGACACAUUCUGGCGGCAUCGCUUGAAUGUCAAAGAUUUUAUCGCUGAAAGAUGGCCUCACGUCUGAUUAGGUAGUUGGUAGGGUAACGGCCUACCAAGGCGACGGUAAGUAGCCGGACUGAGAGGUUGACCGGCCACAUUGGGACUGAGAUACGGCCCAGACUCCUACGGGAGGCAGCAGUGGGGAAUAUUGGGCAAUGGACGCAAGUCUGACCCAGCAACGCCGCGUGAAGGAAGAAGGCUUUCGGGUUGUAAACUUCUUUUAAGUGGGAAGAGUAGAAGACGGUACCACUUGAAUAAGCCACGGCUAACUACGUGCCAGCAGCCGCAGUAAUAC